rnacentral:lncRNA from 1 species
UGAAGGCAGAUCUUGAGAGAUCAUUAUAGAAAAACUCUUUCAUUUUACAGAAGAGAAAACGAAAGCCCAGAGACCGGCUGAAGGUCACGCAGCUCGUUAGUAAUCCAGUCAGGAUGAGAACUCCGAAACCACGCCAGAAUGUUGUAUGAACUACCUUUUCCCGGCUGUCAUCUUUAUUCAUCCUUCCUCCUCCUCCCCCCACACUCUGACAGAAUUCUGCUCCUCUAUUAUUAUUCUUGUUACACUCGGCUUGGUGUUAUUUACGUAUGUCUGUUUCCCUCCCAGAACAUGAACUUUUACUCCUGGAACUCUGAGACCAUAUCUGAUUUAUCUUUGUAGUUUUGCACAUAGUAGGU